UUCUCCCUGCUGUUUAUCAUUUGUCAGUUCCUUAGAUUUUUGGAUCUUCUUAGCCCCUCCAUCUAUUUGCAUUUCAUCAUCACUGUCAUACUUGUCCAAGACAUCUUGCUCUUCUGCUUCAGCAAAAACAUCUUGAGUAAACCACUUCUUCACAAUCUCCUCCUGAGGUGGUGCAUCCUCAAGGGGCACAACAAGAGGGUUGACUUCAUUAUCUUCCAUGUCACUCUCAGAGUCUUGAGCAGAAUCAAUCAUCAUGCUAUCAUCAUUGUCAUCCUGGAAAGAAAACAGCAGCACUACCAUUAAUGCAAAGAAAGACAAAAGAAAGAUAAACUUCCGAGUAACUUGAAGAGCUAUGUGGGAAAAAAAAAAUGCUGUACAAAUUUUUUUAGAUGAUUUAUGAAAGACACUUGGAAAGUUUUAAGAUAAUGAUCAAAAUUUCAUUCAACCCUUCUAUGUAAUCCUAAGUUAAAGGACAGACAGGAUUUAGUUAAAUCAAUUUGAAUUUGUCUUUUAUUUUGGUAAAAACUGAAUCUUACCAAAUCUACAACUCAGUUAAUAUAUUUGAAAUCUACAUGGCACUGUAUUACAACUCAUAAGUUGUUGUAAUACAGGAAAUAGAUGUAAACAAUAACAAAUCAAGUAUAUAGGAAGGAGAUGAAGCUGUGCCUAGUACUCCCUGGGGCAAACACAAUCCAGAUUUGGAGUCUCUUACAGAUCAAUUUUGAUCCAGAAGAACAGGAAUUAAAUCUUUGCCAAACUAGAACAAAGCUCAAACAAGUUAAAGCUCCCACUAAAUCCAGCAGAGCAUCAUCAAUUAAGCACUAAAAGAAUGACCUCUAUUGAAUUUAUAUAGAGAGUACUUGUUGAAGGAAACAACAAACUCUCUCCCAUAGCAAAAGGAAACAGGAAAAGAACUAAAGAGAGGAUGUACGGAUAAGAAUUUCGUAGUGCAACUUAAACCUCACUUACCUGCAGAUCAUCCUUCAAGUGUGCUUGUUUGGAUCGCUUUCUCUGUUUUGAUUUACCUUCCACUCUACCCAAAUACCGUUCAUAAGCCUCAUCAAAUAAUGCCUCAAUAUUAUCAUCAUGUCUGAAAAUGAAGGGAAAAAGAGACCUUGUAGCUUUAGAAGUUUACAGACAACAAUCAAUUAAAGAAGUAGAUCCGCAAAGAGCUGGCCAUAAUACCUUCUGCGUUCGUCUUCAGAGUCCAGAUCGCUGGAUGAAUGUUCCUGGGCUUCCUCGUCACUUUCAUCGCUUACCUCAGUAGUUUCUUUGUCGUAUUCACUGUUAUCAACAACUACAAGAUCUUUCUUACCCUGAAAUGUUUUUCAAAUGCAUGUGAAGAAUAUAAUUAACAAAUGUUACAGCAGACUCUUCACAUAGCAGUAAAAAUGAAUUAAAUUGGGUGAAAAGAAAAAUUAUCAAGAUUAGUAGUGAAACAAAUCCGCAUAUCACGUAUCUAACAAUGGAAAGGAUAAGAAAAAAUAGCAUGUGUUUAGUCUCGGUAAAAAAGCUAGAAAGCAUUACUACUAUUUUAUUUUAUUUUGAUAAUGGUAACUUUACUUCUAUAUAACCACAGUAUACUUCUAUAUAUCCACAGGUAUACUACAACCAAAGUGUAGUACACCCCCUUUCAAAAGUAUUACAACUUACAACUUGUAAUUCAGUUCUGUGCCUUACAAAAAGUUUAAAACAUCACAAAUAUCUUCUGUUUGAGCUUGUAGUUUUAGCUCACACCAAAAAUAAAAAAGGCCUAAACUCAUUUGAAGAUUCUGAAUGUUGUUCUGAGUCCCCUCAAAACACCUUUCAUUCCUCUCACUCCAAAUUGUACACCAAAUGCAUGCUAUUUUAAGGAUUAUUCUCAAUAGGGUUUAAAAGAUAGAUGAAAAAAGUUGGGAAAAAAGGGAGAGAUAACCUUUAAGUCUUGCUAAGUGGAACACUUAGGGCCCGUUUGGAUGGGCUUAAUAAAAGCAGCUUUAAAAAGGUACUUUUAAAAGUGCUGAAACUUAUUUUUAAAAUAAGCAGUUAUGCGUUUGGAUAAAAGUGCUGAAAUUGUUAUGUCAAACGUGAAAAGGGAAAAAUGGAAGAAAGAAAUGUUAGGGUUAUAUGGGUAAUUUGGAGAUUGUAUAAAAAUAUUAAGCACAAAAAGAUAAAAAUGUGGUCAACUUAAAACAGCUUAUAAGCUAAAAAAAAAAAGAACACCCCUACCCCAGCUUUUAACUUUUGGCUUAAAAUAAGUUUUUUUCAACUUAAAAUAAGUUGUUUUGAGUAUUGCCAAACAGCUAAAUACGUCAAAAACCAGCUUUUAAGUCAGUUUGACCAGCUUUUAAGCUGAGCCAAAUAGGCUCUUAAAGUGGUCCCAUUUUGAGAGCCAAUAAAGAUAUCACUCUUACCUUGCAUUUUAUUCAAGGUUGACGCAUCCGCCUUAUAGAAAAGAUGUGUUUCUUAUUUCUUAUUAUAUAAUAUGAUAACCCCUCCUAUUUGCUGCGUCUUACAGUCCUUUUCUGCCAUGGUCCAAAGCAAUACUCUUCAAAUGUCAUUCUCUCUCUCUCUUUGUUUGCUGUUCAGCGUCUGCCAUGUUAAGGAUGGUCCAAAGCAACCCCAAGAAAUUACUGUCCAACAGUGGUCCUGGAAGUAUCAACUUCAUCCCUAUUUUCCUUUCUUCUCUAAGUUGCGCGGACUCUUCAUUUUUGCAGGCGAACCUGUCUCGACACGACUCAGGUGCGGGGUGCGUGUCGGAUUCGGUCAAUCCAAUCCGUACACUUUGACCGAAGCCGAGAAAAGAUUGGGUAAGAAAAAAUCAAUUUCCGACGACGUAAAGAUUACAAAGCUUGAAAAAGUAUAGAGAAUAGAUAAUAGAAGAAGAGAAAAUCAGUUUCCGGCGACAACGACGGAAAGUUGAGAACAACAAAGAACUGAAAAGAGAAGAAGAGAUUUUUUUCUUGAAAGUUGGACCAAGUAAAAGAAAUAUGUAUUUUUCUUGAAAGUUGAAACAAGUAAAAAGAAUAGCCUUUUUUUAAUUUUUCUUGAAAAGUACAUACUUUUUCUUGAAAAGUUACAUUGACUUUUCUUAAAUAAGUACAUGGUCUGCAGGGAGCCAGAGAAAGGGUUUUUUUUAAAAAAAAUAAUAAGUGUAGUUUUAUUUAGUACUUAGUAUAUAUAUUAAAGUGUGUUAGUACUCUUACGUAUACUCAAUUGUAUUACAUAAAAUGGGAUGAAUGAAGUAAUAAAAUUCAUACCAUUAAAUUAUACUAUAAGUCAUAUUAAAAUUUCCUUUUUAAAUAGAGAUUCGAUUGGAAACAACUUUACGUUGUAUAGAUAAAAGAUAAGGUAUUUAUACAUUUUACAUCUACAAAUUUCAUUGUAAAAUUAUAUUAAAUAUAUUAUUAUCAUUAUUUUGUUAAAAUUUUAAAUAUAUUAUUAUUAUUUUGUUAAAAUUUCAAAUUUUAACACGUAAUGUAUAAAUUUUAAAUCCACGCAGACUAGACGUUAUAAGCUAUAAGAUUAAGAAGUAGAAUAUCUUCGUAACUAUAUUUUUAUAAUAUUGAAAUUUUUUAGUCGUAUCCCCGCACCCGUAUCCAAACUCGGAUCGCACCCAAGAAUCUUAAAAUUUGGAUUUCGCCGAAUCCGACUCUCGGAUGCGCAUCCGUCUCGGAUACCCGCACCCGAGUCCGAGCAACUUAGUUUUUUCUUAUCUCGUCUCCGCACAAUACACCCUCACACUUCCUUAGAAUGCUCUGAGAUUUUCCCAACUGUAUGAUGGUCAACCAGAUACACCAACUUUUUACUUGGUGGACGCCAUAGGCUUCUAAAUGUCCACAAGUUACAGACAUCCAUAUUGCUUAUUGAACAAAUGUGGAAAUUGAAAUGGUGUGCUUCCUGAACACUCUUUAUAUUUUUGGUUCAAUAGUUUAUUUUUUAAACGAGUGUGUAGUAUAUAAAUUUGGAGAGGGGGUGGAUUUAACUUCCCCUAUUCUCUGUAUCCUUGAAAUCUCAACCACGUCACAAAUGCUCAAAAGCACAUAUCCCCUGCUGCUAUCCUACAAACCACAUACCUCCAAACACUAUCCACUGCACCUUUCUAUUUAAAGAACUAAACUAAUUACAUCAUGGAUAAUUCUUUAGGGUAUAUUAUAACAUAUAAAUUUAAUCAUUAACAUUCACAUCUAUGAAAUGUCGUAUCCUAUAAAAAAUGUUAUGGUUCUAAAUAUCAAUUUACUUCUACCCGCAGAAAGAUUCUAAAGCAACUUGACAACUGUAAUUAGUCAGUCACCAAUAUUAGCUGAUAUAGCAAAAUAACUAAACCAUAAACCAGGGAGGGUUGUCCAUCAGAAAUCUAGCAACUUAUAGCAAGUGCAUGUUUGACAGAGUGGUUAUAAUUUUUAAAAUUUAAUGGUUCAUAUUAAGAACCUAAAAGUUAAAUCGAUCAAAUGUAUAUUUAACAUACAUUUUUUUUUCAUAAUCGUACACCCAUCUAGCCGAAAUCCUACAUACGCCCCUGAUGGCACUCAAUUUUUCAAAAUUUCCUCCCUCCAUAUUAACCAAAAAUACCAAAUGGAGGCAUCUUCCAUAACCUCUUUUUCUAACCUCCAAUAUGUAUGUCUACCAACUUUCAUCACUACUUUAGAAUAUAAGAUUUAUUGAUGAAACUAGCAGAAAGUGGGCAAAUGUGGGUCUACUCCUUGUGUCCUCUACAUAAGCAACAAUAAAUAUUAUGAUACGCAUCUCCUCAAAUUAUCUUCUUUCAGAAUAGCAUCCCACUAGAUGCACCCAAAAAAGAACUAACCUUCAACCGUUCUAUAGCAUCCACAAUGAUUCCAAAAGGGUUCCAUCAAAUCACCUCAAUAAAUUGGCUGGUUAUGAUAUAACCUUUGAAUCAAUGUUUACAUCUCAAAUUUAAGAUCCUGUAUGGAUAUGUCGAAAGUUAAAUUCCAGAAAAUCUGCUACCUUCCUUGCUAAAGAGCUCCCCUACAUUCCUGUCAUUUCAGAGAAAAUCUAAAAUUGGGAAACCAUAAUUCAAUUUUAUGUUACAUUCCUUUUUCUCCCAGAAUCUCAAAUUACCAUUUCCAACUAAAAGCAAGUGAAUUCAGAAGACCCUUUUAAAAUCAAAAUCACCUGUUGACCCUUUUCACCAGCUUGUUCAGUAUGUUAAAGAACCCCUUCAGAGAACAACCCAUGUUGAUCAAUUCACAUAUGCUUUCAGAAUGUUGUUUAGCUAUCAAGAUUCAGUAGAGCGAAUUCUUCCUAUCACAAAAUGCUCCUCUAAAGCAUCAUCCAACUAAACUACCACAAAUUUCAUAACACGAACUUAAAGCAAAUAUAUAAAUAAAUCAAACCUAACAAAAAAUAGACAAGUUGAUAUUAUCACAUAGCAACUAUUUCGGUUUCUAGCAACAAUAUCUAGCUGAUAUCUAGAUGUAGAUUUUCUCAAAUACACCAGACUUCAUCUAGACGUUGAAGAACAGAGCUUUCAACCAGAUAAAACUUCUAGGAAAAACAAUUUCUCUGUAAAGGUCGCAUCCAGUCCACUAGUGCAAAUGAUAUAUCAAAGAUCUAAGUGUGAAAGUACCUUGAUGGAAGAUAGAGAGAACAAAUCCUGAUCACCAUAGCCAUCCUCUGUCGCGUCGACUUGUAUCCCAAGUGCCUUGCGUGCUUUCUCCUGCAAUCAAAAAAAUAAAGGGGAAACAAUCAGUGAAAUAGAUCCCAUGUGACUACUUCAUGAUUUUAGGGAAGUAACAGAAGUUGUUGGAGGGUAUAUAUCAAUUCAAGAAACCACUACCAGAUUUUGGUCUAGUGUUAAGAGCACAACAAGUGAUGUGUGAAUUAGGCGCUUGUCAGAGAUUGAAAUCUUUUCUCUUUUUACUAAAAAAAAGGUAAGAGUUGUAUUCUUCAGCAUUAAGGGUGUGCUGAGUACUUCCAAAGAGAUGCAAGUUAUUCCCUUAAUUACAUAGAUCCUAGGAAAUCUACCAACUGUUCUACUUGUUCUAUACCAUCUUCUUUACACCAAAAAUACAACAUGUUGAUGCAAUUUUCUUUAACCUUCUGAAUAGUGUUAGUAAUAUUCUCAUGACACCUGAGGAUUCUUUCUCUCAAAAUAGCCAGCCAGAACAAGCCGGUAAUAUAGACCACUUCGUCACAGGCUGAAUCUGACUGCACAAAAAAGGCUGGUAUUUAAGUGGAGAAGUGUAGUGGGACAGACCAUCAUCCACCGUGUCUCAAACCAAGAGCCGCUGGACUCGAGGAUUUCUCAGUUACAAAAAAAAAUAAAGAAACCCUAAUGUCAAGACAUCUACCAAAUAAUUCUUAGUAGCAGUUUAAUUUUCCCAGAAUGCCCUGGUGUGAGUUUCAGUCAUUGCCCUAAUGUCAAAACUUCUACCAAAUAAUUCUUAGUAGCAAGUUUAAUUUUCCCAGAAUGCCCUGGUGUGAGUUUCAGUCAUUGCCCUACACAAGCAAUCAAACAAAUAAUCAACUUGGCUCUGAACUGCAACUUUAUCCAGGCUCUACUUAAGACUAAUUCGUUUUAUAGCUAAGAUACCCUGAAGAAAAGAUUUUUGGGGUUAAAAACUUGAAAUGCAUGAAAGUGCACUUGUUUUCUCAAGGGAAAAGCACAAAAAUCACAAUUUGGGAUACUUGUUUGUCCAUUAAAUCUUCUGAGUUCAACAGAAAAUAUCAAUCCCCACAUGAUGUUGUAUGGAACAGUCUUAACUAUGUGUAAACAACAACAGCAAACCAAAACAGAAAUUGAAAGAGACUUGGUGAAGCAUAUGCAUAAACCUUGGCUCGUCUUUUUGCUUGAAGUUUCUUCUCUUUUUUCUGUUUUUUCUCCAAAAUAUUGGUUUUCUCCUCUAUUUCAUUGAGAACUCUUUCAUCUUCAUCUUCACCUUCAUCUUCACCUUCUUUGCUCUCACUUUCAACAACUGUUGGGGUCUUUAUUUUUUCAGGAGAUAAAGCUUUUCUUAUCUGCAUACGCCACCUAGUAAAAAUGCAUCAUAAAAUCAUAAGAGGAACAUAAAAGAAUGAGAAUACAGAAUAAUGUAACUAAAUUCAUUCAAGAACUUUGAGCAUCCCAAAAAGGAAAGGUGCUAAAAAGGUUUCUGUUUCAUACUUUAAGAGAUACUUGAAUUCUUGCUUUGCAAGAACACGCAAAUCAUCACAUAGAGAUUUAACCUGACACAAAAAUUGAAGUGUAAGGCUAACGAUAGCAAGCAACUACAGUAUCUAGCAACAACAGGCUAUAGCCUAAAAUAGACCACACGUAAUAUACCUCCUCUGUUGUGAGAGUGUGGUCUCUAAUGGCCAAACAGGCAGGAUCAUCAAAGCUCAUUGAAGAAAAUGUACCAAGGACCUGAACAGGGUUAUCAGACCAUACAAAAUCUACAACUGAGCACACCUUCCUUAGGACUGUGGCUCCAUCUUCGUACCUGCAAGGUUCAUUUUAUACAAAUGUCAUAUGGAUGCAAGUCUGAUGAGAUAAUUCAUGCAUCUGAAAAUAGAAAGAAGGAAAUCAAUUAGCUCAAAUCUUCGCCCGGAUUAGUUCUAAUAAUGACAAACCCAUUAGACUGAAUCAAAGUUAACAUCAAUCAUUUGACAGCUGGCAAUUAGUUAGAAAUUCAAAUGUCAAGGUCUACUGAAAUGACAUCAUCUAUUAAUGAUGGAUAAUAAAAAGGAUGAGCCGGGUAUACUAAGCUAGCAUCUGGCCAUAGAUUUUGGGACUAGAUUUUGAAAAGUUUAUCUUCAAAUAGCUGUUUUGCCAUGAAAUUUUAUUGAAUUUCGAAAGCUUCAAAUCUGCGAACUUCAAUUAUUUUUGGUUUAAAAGACUUCCACACACAACUUCAAAAUUCCAAAAAUUACAACUUCAGAUACUCAAAUUUUCAAGUGUAAUUCAAAAUAUAUGGCCAAACAAGAUCUAAGAGGUUUCAGAUGUUGCCCCAACAAUAAAAGGCUCUAAAACGGACUAGUAGAAGUUGAGGCUGGAAUUAUUAGUGAAGUCUGAGAGCAGACAAAGCAACCUGAGAGCUUCACUAUCAACUCAGUGCAUGAUUCUCAUUAAUACAUGCAAAGAAAGAUAUUUGGAGAGUGAAAUCUUCAGCAUCAGACAGAUAAACAAACAUCCAGUUUAUUUUGAUGGAACAAAAUUAGUCAUAAUCCACCGUCCAGCAAGACCAUGAAGGAAGUGAAGCAGGCCAAGUUUUAGGAAGAAUAAAGAACAAACUAUUGCGAUGCUGCCAAAGGCAAGAGCCCCACAAACUCACACAUUUCUCUCGCUGUCACCAUACACUCUGUCUUCUCACAUUCAUCAUUUGACAAUGUUACACUCUUUUCAGUACUCAAACUACUUAGUAACCUCUCAACCUGUUGUGCCCAUUGUCAGAUAUUUGUUUUUCACUUUGCUAAUACUUGCUCAACAAAAAUUUCACCAGAACUCAACCCAUGUGACGAAACCAAAAUUAAAAGGAAUAAACAACUUAUUUUAAGCAAACUAUCUUUAUCAUUGUAUACUGCAUCUCUUCAAAUGAAUGGCCACCUAUUAUCAUUAUUUAGCCAAAAAAGACAGAUUCAGCUUCUCCGAAUUCAAGCUUGUAUGAGAAGAAGGUCAAGCAUCCACAUAUAUACUAAAUCUAGUGAAUUGUUUACUUGUCAAAAAGGACAAACACAUCAUCUGCCUCCCUGCCUCAGUUCCACUACAAGGGCAUAUUCCGGGAAGUUUCAAAAGCAGAAUGGAUUACAAAGUUCAAGCUCCCAAAAAUCUAUGCACAAAUAACAUGUUUCUAUGAUUUGAUUAUAGUCAAUAGAAUGUCAUGUUCCUUUUCAUGCACUUGAAACAAUUAUUCAAAUGCAUAAAUAGACAGCAAAAUAGGAUAUACCCAUCACGGUGUCUCUUCUGCUUCGUCGCCCCGAGUACAUCAAUCACCUGAUUAAGUAUACACAAGAAGCUCAAUGAGAUUACAGGAGUGUCUAUAUGUUAAGGAAAAGAAAGUGCACGGACCUAGCAUGCAAAAGAGAUAAAAGGGGGAGGGGUUUAAGGAGAGAGUGUGAGAGAGGACCAUAAUUCAAAAACUCGUUUAGUACCUUGGGGGGUUCUUUUCCUCCUUGAAAGAGGUGUUUUACAUCAAGAAGUCGUGGAUCGAUCUUUGAAGGAGCUUUAUAUUUAAAACCUAUAAUAUAAAUUUCAGCAGAUGCUGAACGACUGGCCAGAGGUUUGUCCACUUCAACUUUUUCAAAAAGCUGUAGAUGAAACUCAAAAGUGAGGGAUCAUUCGUUCCGUUUAUACUUGAAUAUAAAAGUAGGUAUAGAUGUGGAAAAUUACCUGUCUUAGACAGUAAAGAACUGCAUUAUAAUCUUGAGAUCUGAAAAUCUAAAAGAGAAGAUCAUAUCAGUCUACUGGACAAGUAUGUUUGUAUGAGAAUGAGAAAAAGUAUUUUCAUCACAAUUACGCUCGAAUACACAUACAAAUAUGAUCAUUGUCUCCAAGCAGAAAAAGGAAUGAACCUAAAAAUGUUAUUUGAGGUUGCUUAAUAGUGUAAAUACCAACAGAUCUUACACUAGAGCCAGAUUCAACAUUGUUAAAAGAGGCCAAGGGCUUUAUUUUGGACAAAUACAUGUGCAUACCAAGAGUUUUGCCAACAUAUGAGGCAGGAAUUGUAGCACAAUAAAUAAACGAUAGGCCAUGGAAGAUAGUUAAAGCAAAGAUAAAACCAUCAGAAUUCAUCCAAAUACACCAUUAGCUUCAGAGAUGCACUCAACCAUUCAAAAAAAUACACUGAUGAAACAACGAAAAGAAUGAUGUAUCAAGAAAAAGAUUACUAAAAGAACAUAGUUAUUGAACAGGAUAAUGACAAUGUAGCGCCUAGAUAGUUGGCAGCGAUGUAUGAUAUGUAGUGCUCGUUCCUUCAUGAGGAUCAACUUUAAAGGAUGCACACUUUGGGAAGCAGAAAUACUCAAAGACUAGAAACUAGAAUAAAAGAGCACAGCUGUCCGGCAAGGUAAGCCAUAUGAAGGAAAUAGAAAAAUUUAAUCAGCAACUCAGUUGAAAUGACAUUUCAAAAUUUUCCGACUGUUGUAGGCAAAUGGCUGUGUUGAACAUAGUUAGAAUCCCGGCGACACAGAAUAACGUUAAUCUAAAUUCAAAAUUAGAAGUCAUAGACUACUAGAGCUUUCUGGCAUUACUCCAAAUGAUUCAUACAGGCAUAAAUAACGAAGAAAACAUAAAAACGCCAGUAACCAAUUACAUUAACUAAUAAAGGAACUCAUCAUUGCAGAUCCAGAAUCUAAUAUGACAAAAACACAAAGCUCAUAGUAAGACGUACACGGUCUUUUCCACUUUGUCCAACAAGCUUAACAUAAUCGAAAAAGAUUGAAUUUUUAGCGAGUACCUUUGUAAUAAAAGUCCCUUUUGGAGCCAACAAUUCAGUAGCAAGCUUAACCGAAUCAAUAACCAAUGAGUUCUGACUAGUAGCUUCUUUAGCCCAAGCACCACCAACAUUAGGGGAACCAUCAUGAAGAACCAAAUCGAAAGCUCUACAUCCAUUCUCAGCCAUAAGUUUCUUAAUAGUUGAACGACAUUUAGGUGUAGUAAUAUCCUGUUGAACAGAAAUAGCACCACGAAUUGGCCUAAUUGGAUCCAAAUCAACACCGAUAACAAGACUACCAACCGGUACAUGUUUAACAGCAACUUGCAUCCAACCCCCAGGUGCUGCACAAAGAUCAAGUACUGAUUGUGAUGAACGUAGAAAACUGAACUUGGAAUCGAGUUGGAUAAGCUUCCAUGCCGCUCUAGAACGAUAACCUUGUUCUUUGGCAAGAUGAUAGUACUUGUCCAAACGAUGCUUUCCUUUCACCUUCCCCAUUUCAACCAAGAGGGUUUAACAAGUUUGCUAGGGUUUGGCCCCUGGCCGACUUUAUAUAUGAUUUUGUGUUCUUCUCUCACGUGUUGCUCGCGUGAACAACACAAAAGCCUAAAACGUGUAAUUGGGUAUAAGUAGGAAAAUAUUAGGGUACUUUCUUUCUUGUAUCAGGGUGUGUUUGGUAACGGAAAAAUAUUUUCGUACAAAAUAUUUUUUCGAAAAAUAAGUGGUUUUUUAAUUAGUUUUUUUUCAUGUUUGGUUAGUGAGUAAAAUAUAUAUUUUUGAAAAAAAAAAUUUACAUUUUGUUGAUGAAUGAAAAAUAUUUUUCAAGAAAAUAUCUUUUACUUUUUACUUGAGACUAGAAAAUAUUUUUUAGAAAAAUAAUUUAUGAUUCAAAAAUCAACUCCGGUAAUUGAUCUAGGACCCUGGACAAGGCCCCGAUGACCGAUUCAAAAUACAAUCCUGAUAUAUGAUAGGAUCAAUACUAAAGCACGGUCUUAGUAAUAUUCAUUAAAAUCUAUAUUAUAAAAUAAUACACACACAAGAGAUGCAUGUGGUCAGUCCUCAAAAUGUAUUGAAUAUGGAAGACUAUGCACGAUUAUAACAAGAUAACAUGAUAAAUCUAAAAAUAUAAUAAUGCAAUGAUCAAAUAAAUAUAACAUAAUUUGAUCAUAUAAUUUCAUAAAACAUAGUAUAAGGUCAUGCAUUCUUCUUUAAAUAAUUAUCAUUAUCGUAUCAUAAGUCUUUGAGGAAGUCAUAAGCCUUUGUGGGAAUUCAUGUCUUUGAGGAAGUCAUAAGCCUAUGUGGGAAUACCCUUAACCCACAUAAAUCAUAUAAGUUAUAACUAGAGUUCAUUGUAUUGUUUCAUACUGAAAAAGAGAGAAUAUUCUACUUUUCACAGUAAAGACCAUAAUCAUGAACUUAUAUGGAUCCACUAGCUAGAUUCAACUAAGACUAAUUCAUACAGGGUACUUAGUUUUGAAACAAGGAGAUUGUUACUAAAAAUGUAACACCUCGAAACUUGGUAAUUUGAGUUGGAAAGAAAAUUCUGAAACUUGGCUAUUGAUGCAUGUUGCACGACCCCGCCUACGGACCGUACUAGGUCAUAAAGUUUGUAGGAGGGGCAAUUGUUGUAAGAGAUGCCCAAACCUAGAGGAAUUCUUAUAGACCACUGUGACAGUUUAUAGAAGUAUAUACAACUCGUAGGAAGGAGUCCAAACUUGGUGAUAUUUUGAUCGACUUUUGGAUUAUACAAUUGGGACCUACGACUCGUAGAAGGGUUUACCAACUGUCGAAAGUGCUCCUGAAAAGUGAUUGGAAUUUUGGUCUCUAGUACUUUGAUUAACGGAUGACCAGGACUGUCCACAAAAGCUUGUACGAACUAUAGGCCACCUCUGACAAUUUUUAAGUUAGGUUAUUUGAGCUAUUUCUUAUUUUUUCUACACCUAAACUAUGCUGUUUUGACCCUAUAACUAAGCCCUAUUAUUGCUUUUACCCUUCAAAGCCUACCUAUUUCCCCCUCACUCACCCAAAAUCUCUCAAGAUUUUCAGUGUAAAUUCUCUCCAAGGGUUUUGUCAAGUGGAUUAGGGUUCUUCAAACUUUUGAAUCUCUUCCUCUAAUUGCAAGGCUUAAGUAUAUGUUCUCCUUCAUCGAGACCCAAAGAUUUCUCUAUUCCCUUCAAUCAUUUCAACCCAAAACUCCAGAGUCGUAUAUGAUUCUUCGUGAUUUUGAUUAUUUAUGAUCCAAUCGAUUAUAUUUAAUCUUAUUAUGCAUGAUUUGAUUCAAAUUACAUGCUUUCAAAGUAUUUCAUAUGAACCCAUAUUAUAUGUCUAUCUUGUGAUCAUCGGUUGAAGUUCUGAAAAUUAUGCACAUAAAGAAAAUAUAGUGACUAUGAUUCUAGGGUGCUUUCAAAUAAAGUAUCUCAUGAUCUACGAUUUACAAAAGUAGAUUGCUUCUGAUUGAAGUAUUCCUACUACGAAAAAUUUCUAUGGCUUAGCCACCUCCAAUUGAAGUGUAGUUUUACUAAAAAAGAAAGAUUAUCAUGAUUUAAAUGCUUCAGUUAAAUGUAUAUAUAAAUAGAAAACAGAAAAAGGCAAUAAGAGAUCAGAAAAUCUGAAGACUAAUUCAUUUCAAAAUGUGAACAACAAAAAUCAUGAGCUUAAGCUGCUGUUGAAGCCUUUCCUGAGCCUUUUCCUUUUUGGUUGCGUCUUCUUUUUCAUUCCAUGCUUUCUUGCAUCUUUUUUCAUUCUUGGAUCGACAAGGACCUUUCCCUUGCCAAUCUUAACUUGAACUCCCUUCUUUGCCACUACAUAUUCCCUUUCUGGUUUUUUUGUUGACGCUGCCUUCCUGUAUAGUUGUUCAAUCAUUUUUCUCUUUGAACCUUCAGAGAUUUCAGUUUGGUCUGAUAUUGAGUUAGCUUUCUUCCUAAACUUCUCUAGCUUUCUAUGUGCUGCCCGUUUCUUACGAGCUUUGGCUUCUGCAACCUUCUUUGCAGGCCGAGCAUCAAUUGCUUUAAAUUGAGCUCUCAUUGCAGCAAUCUCCUCUUUUGUCACGGGUUUCACUGGCUGGAAAUUUCUCUUUUCCUCAUCAACGAACCACUUCGGCAACCCCUCAUCGUUGAACAUAUAUCUGUUGUAAGCAUCAUCAAUCAUUUCUUCCCUAGGCCUUUUCUUCAGAGUCAUUUUUGCUGUAGACAAUAUUUCAGCCUUGGUGUCAAUAUCGUCAUCAGAUUCAUCAGAUGACGAGUCACUAGAAUCAGUAGCAGGAGCAGGAACAAUCUCAAAAUCAUCAUCUGCCUUAGAAGCUGAGACCUGUAAACCACCAUUUGUUUUCCUCCUCGUCAUAUCCUUAGUUUCUCCCUGCUGUUUAUCAUUUGUCAGUUCCUUAGAUUGUUGGAUCUUCUUAGUCCCUCCAUCUAUUUGCAUUUCAUCAUUAAUGUCAUACAUGUCCAAGACAUCCUGCUCUUCUGCUUCAGCAAAAACAUCUUGAGUAAACCACAUCUUCAUAAUCUCCUCCUGAGGUGGUGCAUCCUCAAGAGGUACAACAAGAGGGUUGACUUCAUUAUCUUCCAUGUCACUCUCAGAGUCUUGAGCAGAAUCAAUCAUC
rnacentral:lncRNA from 1 species